rnacentral:rRNA from 1 species
GGGAAUUUUCCGCAAUGGGCGAAAGCCUGACGGAGCAAUACCGCGUGAGGGAGGGCGGUUUUGGGGUUGUAAACCUCUUUUAUCAGGGAAGAAUCGAUGACGGUACCUGAUGAAUCAGCAUCGGCUAACUCCGUGCCAGCAGCCGCGGUAAUACGGAGGAUGCAAGCGUUAUCCGGAAUUAUUGGGCGUAAAGCGUCCGUAGGUGGUUUAUCAAGUCUGCUGUCAAAGCGUGCGGCUUAACCGCAUAAGGGCAGUGGAAACUGAUGAACUAGAGUGCGGAUAGGGGUAACAGGAAUUCCCAGUGUAGCGGUGAAAUGCGUAGAUAUUGGGAAGAACACCAGCGGCGAAAGCGUGUUACUGGGUCUGCACUGACACUGAGGGACGAAAGCUAGGGGAGCGAAUGGGAUUAGAUACCCCUGUA